GGUAGGAUAGAGGCCUACCAUGGUGGUAACGGGUAACGGGGUGUUAGGGCACGACACCGGAGAGGGAGCCUGAGAAACGGCUACCACAUCCAAGGAUGGCAGCAGGCGCGCAAAUUACCCAAUCCCGACACGGGGAGGUAGUGACAAUAAAUAACAAUACGGGGUUCUUUAGGAUCUCGUAAUUGGAAUGAGUACAAUUUAAAUCUCUUAACGAGGAACAAUUGGAGGGCAAGUCUGGUGCCAGCAGCCGCGGUAAUUCCAGCUCCAAUAGCGUAUAUUAAAGUUGUUGCAGUUAAAAAGCUCGUAGUUGAAUUUCGGGGUUAGUAGGUUGGUCAUGCCUCUGGUAUGUACUGGUCUCACUGAUUCCUCCUUCCUGAUGAACCGUAAUGCCAUUAAUUUGGUGUUGCGGGGAAUUUGGACUGUUACUUUGAAAGAAUUAGAGUGUUUAAAGCAAGCUAACGCUUGAAUACAUUAGCAUGGAAUAAUGAAAUAGGACGUUCGAUCCUAUUUUGUUGGUUUCUAGGAUUGACGUAUGAUUAAUAGGGAUAGUCGGGAGCU
rnacentral:rRNA from 1 species